UGGUCUCCACCCAGCCCCUUUCAUUGGUGCCAUGACUCGGAUUGGGACUCCCCACCCCCCUCGGUGGGACCCCGAUCCCUUUCGGGCUCAGUCCAGACCCUGGCCGGUCUUCGCUCAUUCUCCUGUUCGCCAAGCUGUUCGCCCAACACCGGCCUCAUCUCGCUUCUCCUCAGAAACUACCAACUUUUAGCCACCAGCGAGGAUGGGACAGAUUCCACAGACGGGCUCACAACCUGCUAACCCAAGCCAGUCAUGACAACCGCCAACCGAUUCCACAAAUUUCUCAACCAUCUCCGUGCCGACAGCUGGCUCAUUGCCAACCCAUCCCUGCCCCUCAACUGGCUCAUGGCACUGGAGGAUCUAUACCUACAAGGAACAUUACCCCAUGCACAACCCUGACAGUUCUCCUGUGCCCUCUCCCCACAGCGCCCCCCACUCAGCAGGAAGCAGCCAGAUGAACCACGACACCCAUUUUCCCCCAUUUAAGAAAACAAAAAGGGAGGAAUGUUAGGUAACAUGGGGUACCUUAAAAUGGCGCCGUACCUUGAGAUGGGGCCGGUUCCGGGUUCUUCUCCCCUCCUUGACCGGGCACUGUCUGAACCCGCCAAAGGAGGGCCAAUCAGAAAGAACCAUCUCCCACCUUCCC